rnacentral:rRNA from 1 species
GACGAACGCUGGCGGCGUGCUUAACACAUGCAAGUCGAGCGAUGAAGCACCUUCGGGUGUGGAUUAGCGGCGAACGGGUGAGGAACACGUGAGGAAUCUGCCUUUCACUUCGGGAUAACUCCGGGAAACCGGGGCUAAUACCGGAUAUUUUCAACUGGCGGCAUCGCCGGUUGAAGAAGGUUUUUCGGUGAAAGAUGACCUCGCGGCCUAUCAGCUUGUUGGUGAGGUAAUGGCUCACCAAGGCGACGACGGGUAGCCGGCCUGAGAGGGCGACCGGCCACACUGGGACUGGGACACGGCCCAGACUCCUACGGGAGGCAGAAGUGGGGAAUAUUGGGCAAUGGAGGAAACUCUGACCCAGCGACGCCGCGUGAGGGAUGAAGGCCUUCGGGUUGUAAACCUCUUUCAGCAGGGAAUAAGCGAAAGUGAAGGUACCUGCAGAAGAAGCACCGGCUAACUAUGUGCCAGCCGCCGCCGUAA